rnacentral:rRNA from 1 species
CGGCUUUACCUAUUUUGUUGGUUUCUAGGGGAGCCGUAAUGAUUAAUAGGGUCAGUCGGGGGCAUCAGUAUUCAAUUGUCAGAGGUGAAAUUCUUGGAUUUAUUGAAGACUAACUACUGCGAAAGCAUUUGCCAAGGAUGUUUUCAUUAAUCAGUGAACGAAAGUUAGGGGAUCGAAGACGAUCAGAUACCGUCGUAGUCUUAACCAUAAACUAUGCCGACUAGGGAUCGGGCGAUGUUACUAUCUUGACUCGCCCGGCACCUUACGAGAAAUCAAAGUUUUUGGGUUCUGGGGGGAGUAUGGUCGCAAGGCUGAAACUUAAAGAAAUUGACGGAAGGGCACCACAAGGCGUGGAACCUGCGGCUUAAUUUGACUCAACACGGGGAAACUCACCAGGUCCAGAUACAAGUAGGAUUGACAGAUUGAGAGCUCUUUCUUGAUUUUGUAGUUGGUGGUGCAUGGCCGUUCUUAGUUGGUGGAGUGAUUUGUCUGCUUAAUUGCGAUAACGAACGAGACCUUAACCUGCUAAAUAGCCCGGCUCGCUUUGGCGGGUCGCCGGCUUCUUAGAGGGACUAUCGGCUCAAGCCGAUGGAAGUUUGAGGCAAUAACAGGUCUGUGAUGCCCUUAGAUGUUCUGGGCUGCACGCGCGUUACACUGACAGAGCCAUCGAGUUUUUUUCCUUGGCCGGAAGGUCUGGGUAAUCUUGUUAAACUCUGUCGUGC